UACGUAGGGUGCAAGCGUUGUCCGGAAUUAUUGGGCGUAAAGAGCUCGUAGGCGGUCUGUCGCGUCGGCUGUGAAAACCCGGGGCUCAACCCCGGGCCUGCAGUCGAUACGGGCAGACUAGAGUGCGGUAGGGGAGACUGGAAUUCCUGGUGUAGCGGUGAAAUGCGCAGAUAUCAGGAGGAACACCGGUGGCGAAGGCGCCACUCUGGGCCGAAACUGACGCUGAGGAGCGAAAGCGUGGGUAGCAAACAGG
rnacentral:rRNA from 1 species